AGAGUUUGAUCCUGGCUCAGAUUGAACGCUGGCGGCAUGCCUUACACAUGCAAGUCGAACGGCAGCACGGAGCUUGCUCUGGUGGCGAGUGGCGAACGGGUGAGUAAUAUAUCGGAACGUACCCUAGAGUGGGGGAUAACGUAGCGAAAGUUACGCUAAUACCGCAUACGAUCUAAGGAUGAAAGUGGGGGAUCGCAAGACCUCAUGCUCGUGGAGCGGCCGAUAUCUGAUUAGCUAGUUAGUAGGGUAAAAGCCUACCAAGGCAUCGAUCAGUAGCUGGUCUGAGAGGACGACCAGCCACACUGGAACUGAGACACGGUCCAGACUCCUACGGGAGGCAGCAGUGGGGAAUUUUGGACAAUGGGCGAAAGCCUGAUCCAGCAAUGCCGCGUGAGUGAAGAAGGCCUUCGGGUUGUAAAGCUCUUUUGUCAGGGAAGAAACGGUGAGAGCUAAUAUCUCUUGCUAAUGACGGUACCUGAAGAAUAAGCACCGGCUAACUACGUGCCAGCAGCCGCGGUAAUACGUAGGGUGCAAGCGUUAAUCGGAAUUACUGGGCGUAAAGCGUGCGCAGGCGGUUUUGUAGGUCUGAUGUGAAAUCCCCGGGCUCAACCUGGGAAUUGCAUUGGAGACUGCAAGGCUAGAAUCUGGCAGAGGGGGUAGAAUUCCACGUGUAGCAGUGAAAUGCGUAGAUAUGUGGAGGAACACCGAUGGCGAAGGCAGCCCCCUGGGUCAAGAUUGACGCUCAUGCACGAAAGCGUGGGGAGCAAACAGGAUUAGAUACCCUGGUAGUCCACGCCCUAAACGAUGUCUACUAGUUGUCGGGUCUUAAUUGACUUGGUAACGCAGCUAACGCGUGAAGUAGACCGCCUGGGGGAGUA
rnacentral:rRNA from 1 species